AAACACGAAAGGAACAGAAAAUUCAUAGGCAACGUCAGGAAGCUUUCUUACGUGAACUUUCUUCUUUUUUAAUUUCACACGCGCAGGAAUGUGUAAGUAAAACCGAUAUGCUUAUUUAACAAAGAAUCUGCUGACAUUUUUGUUCCACCCACAGUUGCUCUCAAAUCCCUGCACUUCCCAUAGUCGCCUCCAGAUGGCGAAUUCGUGCCCGUCCUCUGCUCCGGGACCCGCCGGUACCGCUGCCGGGCUGAGCCAGCAGCGAACCUGGCCCGGUUCUUAGGUGGGGUUCUGGAGGGCUGCGGACGGCCCUGACAAGGCGCCCCUCACUGCACGGAACAAGCGUUUUCCUUUCUAAGGGCAAACCGAAGAACUUCAGCGGGCGGCGCUGGGAGUGCAGAUGGCUCCGUAGUGUUCACAGAAGCGUGGAUCGCGGGCAGCGGAGCGAACCGCCGCCACGAACUGCGGCCCUGCCAUACCACCCUGCCUUGGAUCCAACUGAGUAUGGACUGAAACCUCCAAAAAUUGCAUUGAACUCUGCACCUUGUUUUUGCCUGGCAGGUGCUUACACCACUGAGCUGAAUUCCUGGCUUCACAUGUAAAUUUUACAGAUUAACUAUCCUACUUCCCCAGCUGCCUAAAUCCUCCAGGGAGACACCAGUGAAGACCAUUCAAGCCAAGAGCAUAGCGUGGCCAAGGCGGAGACCUACACGUUGGAAUCAUAAAGCAUGAAAUAACUUCAGGCAUAAAAAGUACAAUCAAAAGCAUCAAACCAGCAGGAUUUCCGAGGAAUUCUUAACCAAGAUGUGCUUUUUCAGCCUCCAUUAAGUCCUCACUCUACAGACCCGAGAGCUAGCCGGAUGGAGCAGCUCACAAAGACAGCCUGGUGGGACUCUAGCCUCACAGUUGUUUAGCUGACCCAGUCUAAUUCCUAUAAUAAAAUCCAUAUUUCCUGCCACUGUUAGUCUUUCUGCUUCUCUGAUUAAACACUAACUGGACAUAGUGGAAUGAACUGUAUCCUCCAGGCUCCUACUGCAAAUUCUAGAAGAACAUUUUUCAAAAUUAACUGUUUCAUGGAAGUUUGCCUCCAGUUCUUUUUAUGAGGACUAACCAUUAUUUUUAAGACUGUGACAUAAUAGAAAUGGCUAGGCAUAAUUACAUUACAAAAUAGAUGAUAUCUAAAGUUUCACAAAUACUGGAUCAUUACUUCACAUAGAUAGUUUGGGGAUUGUAAUUUUCUGUGAUAUAUUUGGUGUAUUAGAAGUGUUGUUUAGAUCAAUUUCUCUCAUUUUGGCAUUAAAAUUGUCCAUAUUUGUAUAAUAACAGUGGUCUUACACUUAUUGUUUUACAUAUACAAAGAAACAACGGUUUUAGUGUUUACAAACAUUAGGAGGACAUCACUGUCAUUUAGUUGGCAGAAUCCAGAUGUGGAGCAUUCUUGCAUACUUACAAAAAAGUCCAACAUGAAACAAUGCUCUCUAUGCUUUCUAUAUUGCACACACAUGAAUGCAUGAGCCAUGUCAGUAUGUGAUGCACCAAUUAUACCAAAUUCACAAUUACCAUGAACACUAAGGAAAUACAGACUCAAUCCUGGGCACAGUGGAGAGAAAGACAACUUCUGCCUUAAAUAAAAUCAUCUAGGGAUGAAUGAAUCAAUAUAAUAGUUGCUCUCAUUUAAAUAUGCAAUCGUUUAUAUCUAAGUGUUCCCCUAGGAAAUGCAUAUACACAUAAGAGGGCUUUUGAUAAGGAUUGGACCAUGAGAGCAUUGUGGUCUACUUGCUGUCUGGAGUUUAGGGUCCUGUUUUAGGGAGGCAGGUCAUUAUGGGCAUGACCUGAAAGGAUGUAUCUUUCUUCCCAGCUCCUCCUGUCUCUGUCUGUUUCCUGAUUUCCAUGGCAUGAAUAAUUUUUCUCAGGCACAACUUUCUACUAUGCAGAUCUUUUAUUUGAAUAAUUCAAACAUGGACUGAAAUUGUGAGCCAAAAUAAAUGUCCCCUUUAAAAAUAUAGGUGUUUAGUAUUUGGUCCCAGAAAUGUGGAAAAUGACUAACAGAUUUGAUGGCAGAAAUGAGGUCAUUGCUGCAAAGCUACUGGUCCACAGAAAAAGUCAUAGAGAUGCUGGUUGGAGAAGGAGCUCUAGAAUGCUGUAAGCAGAACUUAAAUGUGUUGAUGGGAGACUAUGUUCAGAGCUCAGAAGAAUAAGAAGGCAGGCAGUAGGACUAGGCUCAGAAAGUUUCAGCUGUGAAUAAGGACUCCACUCUCAGUUAGACUCCAACAUAGGUAUGCUAGCUGCAUGAAAAAUUUGUUUAUAUUUUGUGCACAUCCUGGAACUUUGUGAGAGAAUGAGAUUAAGUGCUGCACACUAAUUAUCUGAAAAAAAGUUUUCAUCGCAGCCCAAUGUUCAGGUUGUGACAUGAGUACUGCUCACUGCUUUUGCAAGAUUUGUUCUAACAGUAGUAAAAGAUUCAUUUGAAAGAUUUGAGAUUUUUCAGAAAAGAAGGCCUGUAAAGUUGGAGCAGAGAAUAACUUAGCUGCUAAAAAAAUACCAUUAAUAUAUUCCCACCAACUUGAACUACUGGUAGUUCAUGCAUGACUGUCCCAUUUGGUGGUAAACCACUGGUGAUACAAAUAUUGAAUCUAGUUUGCUUGAACUUAAACAAUUACCAAGCUUAAAUGCUCUUAAAAUUGAAAAAUGAAUAUGUUAUAAUAUAUGUGUAGACACAUGAAAAUUACAUAUUACUUACAAAUGAAAAUCUCAAACAAAAAUGAAAAGAACUGCCAAGAGACAACAAAGAAAUAGUAAAAGAAAAAUUUAUCACUGAGCUUAAUAAUAUUGGAACUAUAAAAAAACAAAAAUUGUUUUUAUUUUAGCUACUUAUAUUAACAAAAGACCAUGCACAGUUUACUUACGUAGCAUCAGACAAUAUCAAAUCAGAGUUGCCUGUAGUGAAACAUAUGAUUUUAGCCCCCUCGUUAAUAUGUUAAAAAAAAAGUUAAGGCCUGUAUGACCCGACCUUUCAAAACCUCAAUGUUGCGAAAGUGAAACACUUUGCUUUGAAUAGUGUUUGUAGCCCAAUUCAGAUGCAUCUAGAAAUGAGUUUCCCAGAACUCAGCCAUAUAGACACUCAGCAACCUUUACAGCUAUGAUCUAGAGGGCCUGGCUAAUAUUUAAUUUAGCAGCAGACCUUAAAUUACCUACUUGAUGCUUGUUUUAAAGGCAUGCAGAAUUCAAAACUUGUGGGAUGAAGGAGGCUUCCACCCAGAUGUCAGAAAAAAGUCUUAAAGGUUUGCCCUGGAGAUGGCAUUGUGUCAAGUUAUGAGAAUGAAACCAACAGAGCAGUGGAAACCUCAGGUAAUUGGAAAAGCCAGAAAUGGGAAUAUCUGCUUAGGAAGGCUGCAGGCAUUGAGCAGAACCUGACAGAAAGUGUGUGAGGUCACAGGAAUAGCAGGGCCACCUAAGUCAUUUGGAGUUUGCUUCUUACCACAACUUGCCCUGGAUGCUAGACAUGGAGCUACAAGAUUUAAUAUUUUCCUUGUGGAGUUUUGAUAUUACAUUGAUCCUAUUCCUUUCUUCCCCAUUAUUACCUCCAUUUGGAGUGGAAAUAUAUGUCCUUUGCCAUUGUAUGUCAGCUAGAUUUAACUUUUUCCAUUUUAUAGAAGGGCUCAUGGCUAAAAAUUUGUCUUUAGUCUCAGAGCAGACUAUUGACUUGAACUUUUCAGCACCCUUGAAAUGGUUAAGAAUUUUGGCAAUUACUAGAGAUGGGUGAAAUACAUUUUGCAUAAAGAGAUGAUCCUGUUUCUUUGGGGAACCAGGAACAGGAUAUGGGAAUUAUAUGUAAACGACAUCCAAGAGCCUCCAUUAUAUACUCAGAAAGGAGCUCCUGGAAGGAGACUGAAUCAUGGAGUUGCUGAGGUUUACUUACACUGGGGAGGUAGGGCUUUAAUAAUGGAAGCAGAUUGCAGGAAGCAUCACCUCGAAGCGUACACUUUCUUCCCCAACUCCUCCCUUCCCUAUUUCCUUGGCAUCAUGAUAAGAUGAACUUUACUCCACCAGUCCCAUUCACCAUGUGGUUUUUAUGCUUGUGCUUGCCAAACAUAGACUGAAACUUCUCAACCAAAAUAAACCUGUCCUUCUUUAGUUAAUGGUGUUCCAUAUUUUGUCCUAGCAAGACUAAAACAGUUCACAUGAUUUUUUACUGAUACAUUUAAUUAUUGAUUAAAUUCAAUGAAGCCUUUGGUUUUAAUAUUUGCAGCCAAAAUAAAUCUAAAAGUUUGACACAGAAUUUUACAAUGAUUAUCAUACUGUUAUUGAAUGAAUGAUCACCAUCAUUAUUUAGUCUGACAAAAUGUAAAAAAUAAUAUAUAUUUUUCAGCACUUUAAUAAACUUUUUAAAUGAGCAAAAAACCCAAAUCAUAUUUUGUUUUCCAAUAGUAUAAUUAUGUGCCCACAAAUAUACCAAUUUACAAAACUAUUUGGAAUGAGUAUUUAACUUUUCAAAUUCUUGUUUGGCAUUGAGAUUAUCCCAUAUUUUUAUAAAGAAAAAUCUUUUUCAUUAUUUUAAAAAUCACAUGUGCAUUCUGCUACAAGGUCUUAAAGGGUCAGACAUUAAUAUACCAUUCUCUUGAUAUCACAAAUAAUUUUUGUUAUAAUUGUUAAUGAACUAAGUCAUUUCAUGUUUUUAAGUACCAUGAAAAAUUUCAUGCAACAUCUAAAUUAUGGAAAUUGGAAGCAAAAGUAUAUUCUUUUGUAAUUAAAAUCCAUCACAUUCUCCAUGAUUUUAGUCUGUUUUAUAAUUUUUAUGUUUAUAUGUUUAUAUGUUUCAAUGUUUUAGUCAGGGGUUGUGCACAAAACAAUUAAAAUCAGGACAUGGAGUUUAUAAUAUUUUUAUAAUGGUCACGGGGAGUUAACACAAGAAAAUGCAGGAAAACUCUCUGCAACACCAAAGACAUAGAAUAUUUAGUCAAAAGCCUAAAUCCCACAGCAAUGUUCCACCUGAGUCCAGAUGAAAACCCAGAGCUCAUGGUAAUGCUUCCCACAAGUCCAACUGGAGAUCCGGAGCCCACAAAAAGGACUCAUGCCAGUCUCUUUUAUGGAUCUGUGCUAGGAAGGCCCAAAGGUCAGUGGUGGAAGCCAGAAAGUCCAUGCCGGUGGGGUGAAGGAGCUGUGUUGGUGGAUGAGGGUUCUAUGCUGGAGCCGAGAAGCCACACUCACAAAAAAGACCAGCGCUGUCCUGAAAGGCACUACAGCCAUCCUCAGUGGCACAGAGGCCCCGAGCUCCUCUGAUAACAAGCACUGUCAGAUACAUCUCAGGAAGCCAGCAUGACGAGCCCGUGCUGGAGUCCAAGCAGCAUAUGUCUUCCCUUCUGGAGCCAGGAAGCAAUCUCGAUUUGAGAACCAAAGCUUCUCCAAGAGAAUGGCUCAAAUAGCAACUCAUAGGAGAGCCCAUAAUGCCUCAAUGCAAUAACACAUUAACACCUCAACACCUUUCUCCUUCUCCAUCUAUUUAUGCUGGCAACUUUCCUCAGGUGGAGCAUCUUUGCUCAGUGCCAUGCUGAUGUAAUCCAGCUGGCAUUAUGUUGACCACCACUUUUUAAUCCAUAACACUCAAUUUCUCAUUUUUAUUAAUUUUAUUACUGCCAAAGUUUUCAAUGUAUUGUGUCUUUAUUUCGUGGAACCUAUGCUUGAAUAUAUUUACUUGUUCUGUUCUAUUCAAACAUUUAAAAAUUCCUUAACUUGUCUUUAUUUCAUUAUUUAUGAUAAAAUGUGGUUCAGGUUAUAUGUGCCCUUUUGAUUAGCAUUCUUGGUUAGUGUACCUUUGUAUAAGUGAGCUGUAACUUUCUCCUGUGAUUUUUUUUCUUUCUUUUUGAGACAGUGUCUUGCUCUGCAACUCAGGCUAGCUUCAAGCUCACAUUGUAGCCCAGGCAUUCUGCAAUCUGCAGUGAUCCUCCUGCCUCAACUUCCCAAAAUCUGGGAUUGCAGGCAUACACUAUUACAUCUGGCUUUCCUGGGAUUUUGUUUGUCCCCUCUCCUCCCACUGCUGGUACUGGGACUGAACUCACAACUUUGUGCUUACCAGGCAGGCACAUAUGCAGCUGAGCUAAAUUCCCAGCCUCUCCUGGGAUUUUUUAUGGCAUAUCUUUUUUCAUUUUAUGUUUAAUACUAUGACUAAUGUCAUAAAAUAAUACUUUGUUAACUUCUUUAAUUACUUCUGAAAGAUAAAUUAUUAUUAAAAUAUUACUAUGACAAUCAAUAUUUCAUUUUGUUUUUGUUAUGCAAUUUAAAGUGUCUAUUCAAAAGAGGUUUGCAUAAUACACAUUAGUAUAUAUUCAUAAAUUUGCUUUUGAAAUAUAAAGAAAGUGAUUUAAGCAAUAUUUGCUUUUACCAACUGGCAUUAUUAUUUAAAAGCAUAAAUGAGACUAAGCAGUCCUUAUCGUAUAGUAUUUUAUAGUUUAGAAAUUUGAGAAAAAUCUCAAAAAUAUUUUUGAUUUUCAGAUUCACUUAAUGAGAAAAAAAUGACACAAAAAUAAGAAAUUUCCAUAGAGAUUUUGGUGUCACUAGCCAAAAAAUAAUUUCAAUUAUUCAGCUCUAAGUUAUUACUAUGGCUUAUGUCUCAAUGUCCCCACAAAUCCUCAUGCAGUCAUAGGUGGGACUUUUCAGAGGUGGCUGAAAUUAGGGUGUGUGAUUUUGGGAACCAGGAUGUGAUGCUGAGCUCAUUUUAUGGUGUGAAAGUAGGAUUCACGGUAUGUGUUACAUGCCAUAGGGUGAACAGCCUGGGUAAUAUAUGAGGGACAGGAAGGCUGCUGUUGUCACUUGUGGCUUGCUGUGUCUUUAUUACCUCAGUGCUUUCUGUUCACCAGGAAAUGUUUCAUCUCUGCAGUGCCAUACUGCCAUGCCACCAUGCCUUGGAACUAGCCAACUAUGAACAGGAAUCUUUAGGAACUGUGAGCUGAAAUAAACCUUUCCUUCUUUAACUUUGA